rnacentral:rRNA from 1 species
GAUGAACGCUGGCGGCGUGCCUAAUACAUGCAAGUCGAGCGAAUGGAUUGAGAGCUUGCUCUUAUGAAGUUAGCGGCGGACGGGUGAGUAUCACGUGGGUAACCUGCCCAUAAGACUGGGAUAACUCCGGGAAACCGGGGCUAAUACCGGAUAACAUUUUGAACCGCAUGGUUCGAAAUUGAAAGGCGGCUUCGGCUGUCACUUAUGGAUGGACCCGCGUCGCAUUAGCUAGUUGGUGAGGUAACGGCUCACCAAGGCAACGAUGCGUAGCCGACCUGAGAGGGUGAUCGGCCACACUGGGACUGAGACACGGCCCAGACUCCUACGGGAGGUAGCAGUAGGGAAUCUUCCGCAAUGGACGAAAGUCUGACGGAGCAACGCCGCGUGAGUGAUGAAGGCUUUCGGGUCGUGAAACUCUGUUGUUAGGGAAGAACAAGUGCUAGUUGAAUAAGCUGGCACCUUGACGGUACCUAACCAGAAAGCCACGGCUAACUACGUGCCAGCAGCCGCGGUAA